rnacentral:rRNA from 1 species
AUCCAGCCAUGCGGGGUGUGUGAAGAAGGCCUUAUGGUCGUACAGCACUCUAAGCGAGGAGGAGGCUACUCUAGUUAAUACCUAGAGAUAGUGGACGUUACUCGCAGAAUAAGCACCGGUUAAUUCUGUGCCAGCAGCCGCGGUAAUACAGAGGGUGCGAGCGUUAAUCGGAUUUACUGGGCGUAAAGCGUGCGUAGGCGGCUUAUUAAGUCGGAUGUGAAAUCCCCGAGCUUAACUUGGGAAUUGCAUUCGAUACUGGUGAGCUAGAGUAUGGGAGAGGAUGGUAGAAUUCCAGGUGUAGCGGUGAAAUGCGUAGAGAUCUGGAGGAAUACCGAUGGCGAAGGCAGCCAUCUGGCCUAAUACUGACGCUGAGGUACGAAAGCAUGGGGAGCAAACAGGAUUAGAUACCCUGGUAGUCCAUGCCGUAAACGAUGUCUACUAGCCGUUGGGGCCUUUGAGGCUUUAGUGGCGCAGCUAACGCGAUAAGUAGACCGCCUGGGGAGUACGGUCGCAAGACUAAAACUCAAAUGAAUUGACGGGGGCCCGCACAAGCGGUGGAGCAUGUGGUUUAAUUCGAUGCAACGCGAAGAACCUUACCUGGCCUUGACAUACUAGAAACUUUCCAGAGAUGGAUUGGUGCCUUCGGGAAUCUAGAUACAGGUGCUGCAUGGCUGUCGUCAGCUCGUGUCGUGAGAUGUUGGGUUAAGUCCCGCAACGAGCGCAACCCUUUUCCUUACUUGCCAGCAUUUCGGAUGGGAACUUUAAGGAUACUGCCAGUGACAAACUGGAGGAAGGCGGGGACGACGUCAAGUCAUCAUGGCCCUUACGGCCAGGGCUACACACGUGCUACAAUGGUCGGUACAAAGGGUUGCUACACAGCGAUGUGAUGCUAAUCUCAAAAAGCCGAUCGUAGUCCGGAUUGGAGUCUGCAACUCGACUCCAUGAAGUCG